AGCGAACGCUGGCGGCAGGCCUAACACAUGCAAGUCGAACGGACCCUUCGGGGUUAGUGGCGGACGGGUGAGUAACACGUGGGAACGUGCCUUUAGGUUCGGAAUAGCUCCUGGAAACGGGUGGUAAUGCCGAAUGUGCCCUUCGGGGGAAAGAUUUAUCGCCUUUAGAGCGGCCCGCGUCUGAUUAGCUAGUUGGUGAGGUAGCGGCUCACCAAGGCGACGAUCAGUAGCUGGUCUGAGAGGAUGACCAGCCACACUGGGACUGAGACACGGCCCAGACUCCUACGGGAGGCAGCAGUGGGGAAUCUUGCGCAAUGGGCGAAAGCCUGACGCAGCCAUGCCGCGUGAAUGAUGAAGGUCUUAGGAUUGUAAAAUUCUUUCACCGGGGACGAUAAUGACGGUACCCGGAGAAGAAGCUCCGGCUAACUUCGUGCCAGCCGCCGCCGUAA
rnacentral:rRNA from 1 species